AGGGUCUGGAGUGGGACAUUUUCAGCAGAUCAUUUUGUUAUCAUACGAACGCAGCCUAACCACCUGCUACUCCAAGUGAGAGUCAAAAUCCAGCAGCAUUGGUCUCACCUGAAAAGGUGCUUAUUUAGCAAAUUCAACCUUAAACCUGAGUGCAUGGAAACUAUUGAUGCAGUGUCCAAGGUGGAGAAAGGUCAGAGUGGAUCCAGAGGAGCCAAGAGAAGACGUCCAGCAUGGUGACCUGGGCUCAAGUCAAGGUCCUUAUUUCUCUGCUGAACCAUCACAUUCCUUAUACAGAGUGGGACAGCAUUGGCUGAGUUCUACUAGCAAAUGCCGGAGAUGUGGUUCCUGUUGGCCUUUUAACUGAUGUGAUGAAAUAAAGUCUUCCAUAAUUUGACAACUAGUUUAUAAGUGGCAGAGUUUGAAUUUUUGUCUCAAU
rnacentral:lncRNA from 10 species